CUCUAUCUGCUGCCACGACCGGAAGCGUGGACAUCUUGCAAUAAUCUUGGGAUGACUGAGAAAAACUUAUUUUAUGCAAAAUCCUGAGACUUUGAUGCUGCAUUGACCCUGAACUGGGCUACCCUUUAGAACUCCUCCUUUCUCUUCAGCAUCCAAACUGACAACUUCCCGGAGGUAUUUGCACAGCGACAUCAUCAUCACAGGGGCUGCCUCAUGCUGAGCACCUGCCCUGUAUGGGGGCUUUCGAUCACCACCUCUGCAGUCCUCACUGCAGCCCGAUGAGGAGGCCAUGCUAAUCCCACUUGACAGAACAGAAAACUGAGGCCAGAGGGUAAAAUGACUUGCUGGAGCCCAUGUACCCGGAGAGUGGCGAGACGUGGAUUUGAACACAGGCCUAACUCCAAGGCCUCCAUGUUUUCCAUUCUUCAAGCUGCAAGGAAAGAGAGGGAAGAGGCGCUGUCAUUUGAGGCCCAGAAAAUCCAGCAAGUCAAUGAAAAGGGAUGAGGCCCCUUUCCCAUGGUGCUUCCUGAGGGAAGAGCAAUGGUUUUCGGAAAGACCCAGCAAGGUCCAUGGCAGGUGAGGAGUAUGCUUUGACAGGAGGUUCGGUCCUCAGGCCCCUUCUCCAUGUUCCAGGACCCCAGGGCCCCUCUCCUGGCCUCUUCAACCUGCAGUCCACAGCCUGCUCUCAGCUCCCUCUGUCUCACUUGGAAGCAAGUACUUUCUCUCCAGGGAUGAGUCAAGUCCCCUUGACCUUAAGCCUGAACCCCCUGAGGGCUCUCUCUGCCUAUUCGUGUCCAUCCUGGAUGGGCAGCUGGACUAGCGUUUCUCCAAGUACAUUCAACAGCUUGAUAGGAGUUAAAGUAGUAAGAUUUUGUUGUUAAGACUGUUUGGGAAGCUGUGAUUAAAUAAGAGGAAAAAAACUCUUUUCUACACGACUUCUAAGGGCUUUUAAUAUGCUAACCAGCUUUAUUAAGACCCUAAGAGAAAGCGAUAGAAUUUUCAUUUCCCAAAUUUAUUCGCCCAAAGAGACUUUUGAUCAAGGCUCUUUGGGGGUUAGAACUCUGCCCUAGACAAGCCCUGGGAAGGAAUCUAGUACAAGAUAAGGAUUUAGAGGUGAGUUCAGGAGUAUUUUAAUCAAAUCUAGAGAGAAGACCGGAAUUAGAAUAAAUUGUGAUUGCUAACAGCUAACUCUACUUAGAUGUUUAUUUCUUCAUCAAGCUUUAGCUAUAAGGGGAGCUCACUCUAUA
rnacentral:lncRNA from 1 species